rnacentral:piRNA from 1 species
UGGCUUUGCGCAAGGUUGGGGAUUGGCCCCUU